AGAGAGAAAGCGAGGAAAGGAAGAAGGGGCGUUGAAAGAGGGGGGUGUCUCUCUCUUUCUUUCUUUCUUUCUCUCUCUCUCUUUAUUUCUCCCUCUUGCAAACACCCGACUGGGGCAGCCCUGACCCUGAGCCACCUCGCCCACUCUCUCCCUUUCCCCCCCCCACCCCGCAAAAAGGAGCGAUCGGGUUACCCCCAAAAAGUGGGUUCCCCAAACCGGCGAGGCAGUGACCUUACCUAAAAUCACAAACCUAUGGUUGAUUUACAAGGAUGUUCUCCCAAAAUCGGCCCCCGGCUCACCUACAGACACCGCCUAUGGCCACCACAGCUGUUGCCGCCGCGGCUGCCGCCAGCGUCGUAUCAACCACCCCCCAGUCUUUGAAACUGACUUACCCCGAGAUUUUGGACCGGAUCAAAGAAGAAUUCCAGUUUUUGCAGAACCAGUA